rnacentral:rRNA from 1 species
UACGAAGGGGCUAGCGUUGUUCGGAAUCACUGGGCGUAAAGCGCACGUAGGCGGAUUGUUAAGUCGGGGGUGAAAUCCUGAGGCUCAACCUCAGAACUGCCUUCGAUACUGGCAAUCUCGAGUCCGGAAGAGGUUGGUGGAACAGCUAGUGUAGAGGUGAAAUUCGUAGAUAUUAGCUAGAACACCAGUGGCGAAGGCGGCCAACUGGUCCGGUACUGACGCUGAGGUGCGAAAGCGUGGGGAGCAA